GCUCGUUUAGCUAGGGAUGAGGAAAACAUUUUUUUUCUUUUGACACGAGGAAGAGAAACACUUAGAUUUACGUAUGUGAGCCAUCGAUCACAGAUCCUCGUUGACGUUUCCAGACCGUUUUCCUGAUCGACGCGUUCAUCUGAAACUUUUUUUUUAGAUAUCACCCUGCAGAGGAAGGAAAACAUUGACAGGUAGAAUAGAAAGCCAUUUUCUCGGCAAAAAGAAAAAAAAAUAGAUAGGCAUGAACACCAGGCUCUUCGCCGUUAUGACCAGACCUGCUUCACUUGCAAUUUGUAUUGAAAAGAAACUGCUUAGAUUACUUAACUAAGUUGUCCAAAUGAAAAUGGCAUCAGGUGCACUGUCUCGAGAUCAGGAUCUGAGUUUGUUUUUUCUCCCUCUAUAUACUAGUCCCUCUGAAUUGUACUAAAUUAAAAACACUUAUUAUG
rnacentral:lncRNA from 1 species